rnacentral:lncRNA from 1 species
GGGCGGGCCGGGUAAGGUCCAGCCGUAUCCGCCUCCUUCAUGUCCCGCUGUGGGAGGGGCUCUGGAGCGCCGGGACUGUGAGAUGGCCAAUGACGGUCUGACCCGUUGGGCCGGGCCAGGUCGCGGACAACGUCGACCGUUUGUUUAAGAAGCGUGGACUCUUGUCCUGAGUGCACCGAGGCUUUCAGCCUGCGGGACAGUGGUGCGAUUUGCAUUAGAGAAAGGGAGAUGCCAUGUGCUGGCCCAGCACUCCAACAGGGGCCUGACCUCUAGGAACGGGACACUGGAGGAAGCCUAGACAUCUGAACAAAUCAAGUCAUCCAGAUCCACGGUCAGCUCCUGCCCCGACUUGGCCUUCCUCCUGCUGGGCUGGCCCACGGACCUCGGGAACCUGCCCUGGCUGUGGGUGACCUGCAGCCUAUCUCCCAGGACUAUGGAAGCCCCAUGCAGGAACAUGGUUCUGACACUUUGGGGAUUAUACCCUAAGCUUAAAGGACUGGAAAAGCCCCUGAAGUCCCGAGACCACAACCCUCCACCUUCUAAAGAUAAGACAAGUCACUGAAGCUGAGCAAAGGAAAAUCCUCUGGGAAGGAGGCAAAUAAUGGAUAACUACUAUUUGGGGCCAGCUCCUGGUUUUGCUUGUCUAUGAUGAGGACUGUGCUAAUAAAUUACUGCCUUUCAGGUUUAAUCAACAUAUUUUGGGCACCUAGUUUUGCUGGAUAUGGCAUUAAGCAUCCUCACACAUUUCAGUUUGUUUACUCUUCUGCAAUAGUGAGAGGAGAGGUAAAUAUCCAGUUGAUAGACAACAAGGGCAGAUAUGGGGAAACCAAAGACAUGUUGCUAAGGCUGACUCUAUAUCAUCCAAACCUGGGAGAUUUGGGGAAUGAAAGAACUGAGCCCACAGACAAGAACCAGAUCAUCCCAGGGAAGCUGGGACUUAUGGUCACCCUGAAAAGAAAUGGCAGCUAGGCGACAAAACCCAUGUCUUCAGACUUAAGUCUAAAUCAGUUUAUAUUGGAUACGUAUUCAAUCUAAUACUUGUGGAAUUUGGAUUUAGUGGUAUGAAAAUAAACAUGGACAUAAGAGUAUGUUUCCUAAGUAAAAUGUUUCUAACAAGAAAUGUUCAGUUAUCAUUAUCUGUUGGAUGUUAGGCAAGACACUAAGCUUCUCUGCACUUCAGUUUUCUCAUCUUUAAAAAGGGGAAAAUAAUAGCAGUUACUUCAUGGGUUUACUAUAAGGAUUAAAUCAGUUACUACAGGUAGAAAAGUACUUGAUAUCUAGCACUAUUAAAUAAAUGUCACCUAUUAUUUUUAAUACUGUAUUUGUAAAGAUAUUUUGCAAAAUACAGUGGCUCUAAGAAUUUGACAGGAGGCGUAUUACUUUGUACCUCUCAAUUGCCAUGUAUUUUACUGAAUGAUUAUGAAGAGAAUGUUUUCUGGAUGUAUGGAAUAUCCCAAGUUCUUGUUUUUUGUUCGUUUGUUUGCUUGUGUUUUAACAAAUAGCACUAUUCUGGUCCAACAGGUAAAAUCAGCUCCUCAGUGUCUCCAAGGACAGGAAUGCCAUGGGCUGGGAGGCGCCAUGGGUGAACAGACUUCCCUACUUCCUGCCUCCCCAAGGGUGGGGAGCAGUCUAGGGGAUGGCUGUACUCCUGGGCCCAGUGUCUAAGUGAAAAUUAGGAGGAAAUGGAGGGAGGGUGGCGAGCGAGGACAGACUGGCCAAGGUCCCCCGCAGCCACUCCUGAAGUCCUCACGAGGGAGAAGCAGCCUCUCCUUCCAGCCUUCCCCAAGUCCUCCCUAAGAGUGUAUUCUACUGGUUUCUGUGCAGAUUUUUUUCGGCUGCGACCAAUAGUAGCUUAAACAUGGAUUAUUUUCUUUUUAAUUUCUUCCUGCAAAAUUCUUAGGAAACCAUUAAUAAAAGUAAUAUACAUGUGAAAUAAUAAUCUUGGAAACAUCCCUUCUUAAUGCUUAUGUAACUGUGUUAUGGUCGUGUCCCAUCUAGACUAAGUAAAUUAAAAUCUUAGCCCAGAUGAGAUGUAAGCAAAGGCAAGAAGAAACUUUGAUACCUACCAAAUCAUUCCUUGGUUGUAGACUAAAUGUAGCACAUUCUCAGCUAUUUUGAAUUCUCCAUAUUCAGGCUACAAGAGAAAAUAAACUUGUGCAUUAAACAAGUUCCAAAGUUCUUUGCAUGAACCAAUUAAUUACAGACACCUAUAUAGACUUCUUUGCUCUUAUGAACACUUAGAGAUCAGUGCUUGUGGGGCCAUCCCAGCAAAUGGUAAAUGUUAAGAAAGGGGUGGGGCUGGGCAUUGUAGCUUAUGCCUGUAAUCCCAGCACUUCGGGAGGCUGAGCAGGAGGAUCACUUGUAGUCAGGAGUUCGAGGUCAGCCUGGGCAACAUAGUGAGACCUCAUCUCUACAAGAAAUUUUUAAAACUAGCUGGGCAUGGUGGCAUGUGCCUAUAGUCCCAGCUACUCGGGAGGCUGAGGCAGGAGGAUCGCUUGAGCAAGACCCUGUCUCAAAAAACACAAAAAACAGACAAAAAAAAAAAAAAGGAAGUAGAAGCUCAGCUUUCUGCACCCAUCUCUUCCCACUUGUAUUCUCUUUCCGUGUGUCCCCCUCAACUAUGCUGGACUGUUUCCCAGCCACAACAUGAGAAAGGAUGGAUUUGGCCAUAUAAACUUUCCCAACAGACACAGCAUUUUACUUACAAACUUGCUCUCCAG